GCGUACAAACGUGGUGAGUUAAGGCGACUUGCGGCCACGUAAAACAAGCAGCUAAACAGCUCGGCGAGUCUUUCCA
rfam:Acidobacteria bacterium 13_1_20CM_3_53_8 13_1_20cm_3_scaffold_35, whole genome shotgun sequence.